rnacentral:rRNA from 1 species
GAUGAACGCUAGCGGCAGGCUUAACACAUGCAAGUCGAGGGGUAUGCCGAUUUAUCGGCAGAGACCGGCGCACGGGUGCGUAACGCGUAUGCAAUCUACCUUUCACAGAGGGAUAGCCCAGAGAAAUUUGGAUUAAUACCUCAUAGUAUAGCAGUUUCGCAUGAAACCACUAUUAAAGUUCCAACGGUGAAAGAUGAGCAUGCGUCCCAUUAGCUAGAUGGUAAGGUAACGGCUUACCAUGGCUACGAUGGGUAGGGGUCCUGAGAGGGAGAUCCCCCCACACUGGUACUGAGACACGGACCAGACUCCUACGGGAGGCAGCAGUGAGGAAUAUUGGUCAAUGGACGCAAGUCUGAACCAGCCAUGCCGCGUGCAGGAUGACGGUCCUAUGGAUUGUAAACUGCUUUUGUACGAGAAAGAAACAACAUUACGUGUAAUGUCUUGACGGUAUCGUAAGAAUAAGGAUCCGGCUAACUCCGUGCCAGC